AUUGAACGCUGGCGGCAGGCCCAACACAUGCAAGUCGAAUGGUAACAGGAAACAGCUUGCUGUUUCGCUGACGAGUGGCGGACGGGUGAGUAAUGUCUGGGAAACUGCCUGAUGGAGGGGGAUAACUACUGGAAACGGUAGCUAAUACCGCAUAACGUCGCAAGACCAAAGAGGGGGAACUUCGGGCCUCUUGCCAUCAGAUGUGCCCAGAUGGGAUUAGCUAGUAGGUGGGGUAACGGCUCACCUAGACGACGAUCCCUAGCUGGCCUGAGAGAACGACCAGCCACACUGGAACGGAGACACGGUCCAGACUCCUACGGGAGGAAGCAGUGGGGAAUAUUGCACAAUGGGCGCAAGCCUGAUGCAGCCAUGCCGCGUGUAUGAAGAAGGCCUUCGGGUUGUAAAGUACUUUCAGCGGGGAGGAAGGGAGUAAAGUUAAUACCUUUGCUCAUUGACGUUACCCGCAGAAGAAGCACCGGCUAACUCCGUG
rnacentral:rRNA from 1 species